rnacentral:rRNA from 1 species
GACGAACGCUGGCGGCGUGCCUAAUACAUGCAAGUUGAGCGCUGAAGGUUGGUACUUGUACCGACUGGAUGAGCAGCGAACGGGUGAGUAACGCGUGGGGAAUCUGCCUUUGAGCGGGGGACAACAUUUGGAAGCGAAUGCUAAUACCGCAUAAAAACUUUAAACACAAGUUUUAAGUUUGAAAGAUGCAAUUGCAUCACUCAAAGAUGAUCCCGCGUUGUAUUAGCUAGUUGGUGAGGUAAAGGCUCACCAAGGCGAUGAUACAUAGCCGACCUGAGAGGGUGAUCGGCCACAUUGGGACUGAGACACGGCCCAAACUCCUACGGGAGGCAGCAGUAGGGAAUCUUCGGCAAUGGACGAAAGUCUGACCGAGCAACGCCGCGUGAGUGAAGAAGGUUUUCGGAUCGUAAAACUCUGUUGGUAGAGAAGAACGUUGGUGAGAGUGGAAAGCUCAUCAAGUGACGGUAACUACCCAGAAAGGGACGGCUAACUACGUG